UAGCGACGUCAGGAGAGUCUCAAAAAUCCACACAUAAAUACAGACCAGUUCCCACACAAAUUGGAAACGCGGCAUUACAAAAGGUACCGUACAGACACUUGUUGAGUGGAACCAGUAAACAGUCGAAACCCCAAGGCGCGGCGUGUGGGAAAGUGGAUCGAUUUGCCAGCUACGACCACCUGAUGGCUUUUUGGUCUUUGAUUGAGCCUUGUCUCUACAAGAUGGUACGUGUCUCCAGAGCCAAAUCAGCUGCCAAGAAAAAAGAAGUGGUCGCACCUGCACGUGCAUCAACAGUACUUUAGACAUCUGCUCCAACCCAUAGAUUAACUCUUUCCUUUUUCAUCACUGGUGAUGAAUCGCAAAGCUUGAUCUAAGAGAAUAAGGUACAUCAUUAGAAAUAUAACCUCAGCAUCAAGGGUGUAAAAAACAACUUAGUUCUUAUGAACUUUAACUGUGCUAGAAAAAGCCUACCAUCCUGAAUGCUUACUGUUACUUACUUUAUUGGACACUGAAUGAAAUAACACAUACAAAUUCAUUAAGCUUCAAUUGUACUGGGUUACUCGCAUCAUCACAUCUAUAAUGUUACUACAUGGAAAGAAACGUUAGGUAGCUACGUAAUGUUACUUUUAUAUACACAAAACCGUGGCUAUAAAUUAAACUAUUAUUACUAAACACAACAGGCAAACAUCAAGCCUGAUAUAAAACACUGGUUAAGAAAUAUUGUUGGAAUUUGCUGUUUCUGCAUCUUAAUACACGUUAGAAAGUGAGUUAACUGACAGACUAGACUUUGAUAGUAGCUAGCGUCUGUUAGACGUCGUUUUCUUACCUUCGUAGCUGUGAAUGUAGGUCGCAGCAUACAGCCUAAACCCCUUCUCCAAUUUGCUGGUCGGAGUUUUCGUUUACCUCCAUAAUCGAUGUACAUCAGUGCUGUUCAUUGUCGACAGCUCUUGUAAACACGGGUGUAGGACGUCGCCAUCUUUGACCGGAAGCUGUGAAGCUGUAUUACGGCGAAUAAGGAAGCGCUUGUGCAAGUAGCCUAUUUAGUUUUGAAGCACUUUUUCCUCAUAUUUGUUGACCCUUUACAUCGAGACCCAAUUAAUAAAUGUUGUUCCGGGAUGUUGCAGGACUGUACUAUCCGGUGUACAUCAAUUAUCGCUUGUUUACUUGACUGAGGCAAAAUAGUCAUGUCACAAGGCACACACUAAACAAGCGUGCUUCAAUCAUGUUCCCUCUUACAGUUAUAGUAGCUCCAUCCAAAACGUCCUACUGGGUCUUGGGGUCAAACAUUGAGCCCUCACGCUCAUUCAGUGCCAUUAUAAAAGGAAUGCAGGUUUAAAAGAAGCAUCUAAAGAAACUGCAAUUUCAGGUAUCAGUGUACAUCCAUUUACUGACCAGUAGAGGGCAGUGUCACCCCUGUAAUGGACGAAUAUAAUUAACAGCAUCUUCAACAAACAGAUGUUUCCUUGCUUGUCUUGAGCGGGGCAAACAGUUUUGCACUUCCAAACAAAUUAAACGGCCCGAAUAAUAUAUUAUAUUUGAAUUGCCGCACGCUUUUUUUAUGCAAACUUAGGGCAUAGACGCCACUUAUAAAUUAGUUAUGGGAUUCUGAUUCUGAUUUUGGGUCAGGGCUACAGCCAGUUUACAGCGAUGUUUGGUUUGCAUACGAUUGUGGUAUUCCAUAAUUCAACAUAGCUGCCAUGGACAACCCAAUGAAACUCAUCAGGCUGAUAUUUAUUAUCCAAAGAAGACUUGUACUUUGAAACAACGUUUUUUAUUCAAAGGCCACUAUUAAACACAUUUAUAUUACUAAUAGGAUUUUGCAGUGACAAUCAACUAUUCAAUUUGAUUAUUACAUUUUAACUCUAGGAUGAUGUUCGUUAUCUGCUAAUUAAAUGAGCUCAUGAAAUAACACAUAAAAUAUAAUACAUAUCACUGGAUGAAAACCAAAGGCUCAAUGGACAAUAAUCAUCUUUGAAAAUUCCCUUUAAAAAAAUUAGAUAUCAAAACAUUCGUACAUAUUUAACAGGUCAACGGUGCAUUUAGUCUCCAGUGACUCUGGUCACGUGACUCACGGAACCUUCAGAUGGCUGCACUCUGAGGUCAAGAGGUCAGACCAGCUCUACUGGUGGUGGGGUCAGCAGGGCCCUAAGUUUUCCACCCUUAAAGGUACCACUGCACUCUGGUGAGAGACUCUCACUGUGAGGACGGCGUGAAUGAGUCGGCUUUGGACGUAUAUUUAGAACGCAGUAGUUUGGUUACUUUGCCAAAACUGAUCAAUUGAUUGGCACACACACGCACACACACACACACACACACACACACACACACACACACACACACACACACACUUUCACACACUCAUCAGCACACACCUGCACACUCACACCCCAUAACAACAAGACUGCAUCACAGGGGGUUGAGCUGAGGUCCAGAUGUGCACCUCUCCCCCCCCCCCCCCACACACACAAAUACACACACGUGCACACACACACACACAUGCACACUGAUUUCUCGCCCUGGGUUCCUCCCGUGUGUGUGUGUGUGUGUGUGUGUGUGUGUGUUUGGGUGGGUUUACAGCCUCUCUAAUAAUCAACACAGCAGGGGUAGCCAGCUCCCUACUGCUACUGUUGUUUAGCACUGUUUACCUUCUCUCGUCCUGGUCACGUGACUCUCUGCUCACCUCUGAGCCCCAUCCCAUCCCACCCCCGGCUCAUAAAACAGGUCGUUGGGCUCCCCCGGGCAGCCAUGUUGGUGAAUGGGGGAUAUUGUAGAUUCAUUACCAAGUAACAUUUUUUGUUCAUGUUUCAUUGGGAGGGAAAGAGAAUUGUCUCUCUCUCUCUCUCUCUCUCUCUCUCUCUCUCUCUCUCUCUCUCUCUCUCUCUCUCU
ensembl:lncRNA